UGUCCCAUUCAGGUCUCUGUUCAGAUAUCACCUCUUCAGAGAGGCCUUCUUUAUUUUUGGCUGCGCCGAUGGCACACGGAAGUUCCCAGGCCAGGGAUGGAACCUGAGCCAGGGCAGUGACAACACUGAGUCAACCACUAGGUCACCAGGGAACUCCUUGUUCAGUGUCUUUAAACUAAUACUGGUCAUUCCCUUUCCCGCUUUUCAGUCAUGUCCUUUAUUCACCUGUUAUUAUCACGUAUUUGUUGUUUAUUGUCAUUUGCCCACAUUAGAAUAUAUGGUUCAUGAGGGUAGGAAAUUGGGUCGUUUUUUUCCUCACUGCUAUAUCUCCAGCUUCUAGAAUUGUGUAUAGGAGGUACUAAAUAAAUACUUCUUGAGUGAAUGAGAAGGGUUGGUGUAGUGAAUAAGUCAUUCUGACCUCAGAUUCCAACUCUGUGACCUGUUGCAUGUUACUUGAGUUCUCUGAGCUUUAAUUAUCCCACAUGUGUGUGAUGGAGAUGCUGUCAUGCCCAAUUUUAUAGGGUUGUUGUUAGAACUUAAUAAAUUAAUCCAUGUAAAGUACUUUUUACAAAGCCUGAUAGCAAUCAUGCUCAAUAAUGGUUAAUUAUCAUAUUUUAUGGUGCAUACAUUAAAUGUGUGAGCUUAGAGUUCGUAUUUUUCUGUGUUUUCAUCUGGUUUUAGAAAUAAAUGUAAUCGAGAAAGAUAGGGCUUGAUCUUUGAUGUGUUGGUGUUAUUGAGCUGUUCUUUUACUUUGUUCAGCUUGGAAAGAUGGCUUUAAUUGGUGCUUUUCCCUUUAGGGAAACUUAUGGUUUUCUUUAUUAAGUAACUGGCUUAGACGAUAUUAUAGUCUCCCUAGGUUUUAGAAUGUAAUUAAGAGCAAAAUCAGGCCAAGGAAACCACAUUUUAAAAUUCUGUGAUAUCAUUUUAGUUGUACCAACUUUAAUGUAAUAAAAUACUUCCUGGGGUGAACCUGAGUAGCAGAUGCACAAAUUCUUUAACCUUUAAUUUGUUGGGAGAUUAACAAGCCACAUAGUUUCUCUGCCUGUAUUUCAUCAAAGCAGAGGUAAUACCGUAAUGUCAGACCUUCUAAUUUUCAUGACUAUUACAGGCCUGCAGGAAUGCUUUAAUGACAACAGAGCUUUCAAAUUGUUGGUAUUAAUUUUUAAAAAGUCUUUACGUUAUUUCAAAGAGGUGAUAUCAAGAUGAUUUUUUUCUAGAUGACCCCAGGGAAUCUGAGUCCUGCCUUUGACCAGUAAGAGAAAGGGACAUUUUAUUACUAGCUCUCAUGUUGGUAGCCUUUUUUAUCUGAGAACACUAGUUGCUAUAACAAAUACAUUUGAAAGGACCCAGACUAAUGGAAGCGCUACCAUUUUCUACACACGGCUUCCAAGGUCCCCUGAGGCGGCAAGUGGGGGAUCUUGUGGGAGUGGCUGAUGGGCCAGACUUGGAAAUGGCGUAAUCACUUAGCCCUAUUCCGUUGUCAGAAUUGAGUCACAAGGCCUAGCGUAGCUGCUGGAGGGCAGGUCUUUUCGAUUGUGCCCAGGGGGGAGGUUUGGUCGCUAUCCAGCUAGUCCACAGCCCUCCAACCCUGACACAGUCCACACUAGGACUGUGUUGGAAAUCCUCUUAUUUUGGGUGUAGAUCACCUAGAACCUUCAUUCUUUAGAGGCCCACAGGGUUUGGGGUAGUUAGUCACUGUUUUGAAUGCAUGUAAAGGCCUUUUCCCAGGAAGACCUAGGAGAUCUGGAAAAGCUUGUUUUCCUCUGUCCAUGGCAGACCCCGCUCUCGCAGGUCCUGGUGGCCGGUGAGAGCUGUCUGUAGGAGUUUCUCGCUUUGUCAGUCCAGCCUGUGGAAGAGGAAAAAAGCCACAAGGAAGCCCAGAGAAGCCAGAGAGGAAGGUGACUGGGUUUUAGCUCUUCUUACCUUAUUUUAUUUUUGACUGCACCUGCAGCAUGUGGACGUUUCUGGGCCAAGGACUGAACCCUUGCCACAGCAGUAAUGACUCCCAAUCCUUUAUUGGCUGUGCCACAAGAGAACUCCUUGUUCUCACUUUAGUAGGCUUCUGGAAGGAAGUAUGGCCCUUUAGAAAGCCUACCUCUAUAUAUGCUUCGACUUCUUAAAUUAUGGUAAAAUACAUUUAACAUAAAAUUUACGGUUAGUGACAUUCAGUGCAUUCGGAUGUACAACCUUCCCCACCACCUAAUUCCAGAACAUUUUCAUCACUCCAGAAGUCACUCCCCAUUUCCUCCUUCCCCUGGUCCCUGGCAACCGCUAACCUGUUUUCUGUCUCUAUGGACUGUGGACAUUUCAUAUAAAUGAAAUCGUAUGAUAUGCGGCCUUUUAUGUCUGGCUUUUUUCGUACAUGUUUUUGAGAUCUGUUCACAGUGUAGCGUGUAUCAUCAUAUAUCAUUCCUUUUUAUGGUUGAGUAGUAUUCCAUUAUAUGGAUAUACAGCAUUUUGUUUAUUCAACUGAUGGACAUUUGGGUUCUUUAUACCUUUUGGAGAUUGCGAUAGUGCUGCUAUGAGCAUGUGUGUAUAAGUUUUGUUUGUACACCUGUUUUUCAGUUUUUUGUUUCUGUAUACAGGAGUGGAAUUGCUGGGUCAUAUGAUAAUACUCUGUUGAACUUACUGAGGAACUGACAAACUGUUUUCCACAAUGAGUGUACCAUUCUGACAGUCCCACCGGCAAUUUACAGGCUUCCAGCUGUCCCUUACCUGGCUAACACUUGUUAUUUGCCAAUUUAAAAAAAUGUGGUCAUUCUACUGGAUGUAAAUGACAUCUCUUUGUGUUUUUUAUUUGCAUUUCCCUGUAGGUUAAUGAUGUUGAGCAUCUUUUUAUUGGUUGUUGACCAUUUGCAUAUCUUCUUCCUAGAAAUGUCUAUUCCAACCCUUUGCCUUUUUUUUCCUUUCAAUUGCAAAUAAGAUUCUACAGGUUCUGAUUUUCCCAUCAAGGGGCAGGGCUCAAGUCAUCCCUAGGAGAGACUCCUCUGCCAAUUUUUAAAUUGGGUUGCUUAUUGUUGAAUUGUAACAGUUCUGUAUUUAUUCUGAAUGCUGGAUUCUUAUCAGAAUGAUUUGCAUAUAUUUUCUCCCAUUCAGUGGAUUGUCUUUCACUUUCUUUGAUACACACAUUUUAAAAUUUUUGAUGAAAUACAAUUUACCUAUAUUUUUGGUUUGUUGCUUGUGAUUUCUCUUACCUAAGAAACCGUUGCUAAAUCCAUGAACAUUUACUCAUUUUUUUUUUUUACCCGUUUAAUGGUUUUAGCCUUUAUAUUUAGGUGUUUUAUCCUUUUUGAGCUAAUUUUAGUAUUAAUGUGACUAAAAGAGAGAGUAAUUUCAUGCUUUUGCAUGUAAGCAUCCUGUUGUCCUUUUUCAAGGUCCUCCAGGUGGUAAGUGAUAGAGCCCAAAAGAGCCUUGGCUCUAGAGCCUGUGCUCUUAAAACAUUGAAGAUGCUUUGGAGUUCCCUGCUGGCUCAGCAGGUAAGGAUCUGGCAUUGUCACUGCUGCAGCUUGGGUCUCUGCAGCUUGUGGCAUGGUUCAGAGUUGGCCUUGGAAUUUUUGUAUGCUGCCAGCACAGCCAAAAAAAAAAAAAAAAGUUGAAGAUGCUUUCAUUUUAACUAUCAAAUUAUUUUAGAGAGAUAAACUGGGGUUUAUAGGUUGGGAAUUAAGAUUAGUUUCAUAUUUCUGUGCUUUCAUUGGCUUUAUGAUUUUGUGCAAAACUUCUCUCUUCCCCAGGAGGAAAUCACUGUUCUGAAGAUGGUGUAUAUUAAACUAUUGCGUUAGUGGAAAAAAAAUUCAUUACUAAAGAUAUUUAUCCAUAAGCAAGAUGUGGGAAUAUUUGCGUUUUUUUUGUUUUUUGUCUUUUUAGGGCCACACCCAAGGCGUAUGGAGGUUCCCAAGCUAGGGGUCCAAUCACAGCUGUAAUCGCUGACCUACACCAGAGCCACGGCAACUCAGGGUCCGAGCCGCCGUGUCUGCGACCUACACCACAGCUCACAGCAACGCCAGAUCCUUAACCCACUGAGCGAUGCUAGGGAUCAAACCCGAGGCCUCAUGGAUGCUUAGCUGGGUUUGCUAACCUCUGAGCCAUGAUGGGAACUCCGGAAUAUUUGCUUUUAAAUUUUAUAUAAAUUGUGUGUUAUUAUGUAUAUCCUUUUGCUCUCUUACCUUAUUUUACUCAACAUUGUUUUUGAGAAUUAUGAGAAUUAUGUCAUGAGUCAGCAAACCUUUUUUUUUUUCUCGUCUUUUUGCCUUUUCCAGGGCUGCUCCUGUGACAUAUGGAGAUUCCCAGGCUAGGGGUCUAAUCAGAGCCGUAGCCACUGGCCUAUGCUAGAGCCGCAGCAAUGAGGGAUUCGAGUCGUGUCUGCGACCUACACCACAGCUCAUGGCAACGCCGGAUCCUUAACCCACUGAGUGGCCAGGGAUCAAACCCGCAUCCUCAUGGAUCCUAGUUAGGCUCGUUGCCGCUGAACUACGACAGAAACUCCUGUAGCGUUCCUUUGAAUAAAUAAUUUGUAUAAUAUAUAAACAGUUGGGUUAUUUCCAUUUUCCAUAUUAGAGGUAAAUAUCCUUGUGUACAUAUGCAAGAGUUUCUCUUGCUGGAUAUUAUUACCAGAUUACUUUCUACAGUGAUUGUAUCAAUAUGUACUUUGACCUGGGAUGUUUCCCUCUGUCCUUGCCAACCCUUGGUGUUAUCAGGUUAUUACUUUUUGUUAAUUUGCUGUGUUUAGAUGGCAUCUCAAUGCUUUAAAUACAUUUCCUUGAUUAUUAGUGAAGUUAAUCUUUGUAGAUUUAUUGGGGUUUUUUGAAAAUUUUUUCUGUGAUUUCCUUACUUAUGUGCUUUCAUGUUUUUAUUAUAGACUAUUUUUACUUUUCUUACUGAUGUGAGUUCUUUAUCAAUGUCAUUUAAGUAGACUACAGAGGAGAAGCAUACUUUGGUCUAGGUUUGAAUUCUCUUAGUAGUUUAGUAGGUUUGAAUUUGAAGGAAGAUAAGAAUGUCUAUUU
rnacentral:lncRNA from 1 species